UCCGAUAUAGUGUAAUGGCUAUCACUUGACUCUCUCCAAGUCGGAAUCCGGGUUCGAUUCCCGGUGUCGGAA